rnacentral:rRNA from 1 species
GACGAACGCUGGCGGCGUGCUUAACACAUGCAAGUCGAACGGAAAGGCCCUGCUUUUGUGGGGUGCUCGAGUGGCGAACGGGUGAGUAACACGUGAGUAACCUGCCCUUGACUUUGUGAUAACUUCAGGAAACUGGGGCUAAUACCGGAUAGGAGCUCCUGCUGCAUGGUGGGGGUUGGAAAGUUUCGGCGGUUGGGGAUGGACUGGCGGCUUAUCAGCUUGUUGGUGGGGUAGUGGCUUACCAAGGCUUUGACGGGUAGCCGGCCUGAGAGGGUGAACGGCCACAUUGGGACUGAGAUAGGGACCAGAGUGGUACAGGAGGCAGCAGUGGGGAAUAUUGCACAAUGGGCUGAAGCCUGAUGCAGCGACGCCGCGAGCGGGAUGACGGCCUUCGGGUUGUAAACCGCUUUCGCCUGUGACGAAGCGUGAGUGACGGUAAUGGGUAAAGAAGCACCGGCUAACUACGUG